rnacentral:rRNA from 1 species
AUUGAACGCUGGCGGCGUGCCUAACACAUGCAAGUCGAACGAGGUCCAUCCAGUGGCAAUACUGGGGAAGACCUAGUGGCGAACGGGUGAGUAACACGUGAGGAACCUGCCCCGAAGACCGGGAUAACGCUCCGAAAGGAACGCUAAAACCGGAUACCUUCACCAGACCGCAUGAUCCGGUGAAGAAAUGGAUUCCGCUUCGGGAGGGCCUCGCGGCCUAUCAGCUUGUUGGUGGGGUAAUGGCCCACCAAGGCUUCGACGGGUAGCUGGUCUGAGAGGACGAUCAGCCACACUGGGACUGAGACACGGCCCAGACUCCUACGGGAGGCAGCAGUGGGGAAUCUUGCGCAAUGGGCGAAAGCCUGACGCAGCAACGCCGCGUGGGGGAUGAAGGCUCUCGGGUCGUAAACCCCUUUCAGCAGGGACGAAACUGACGGUACCUGCAGAAGAAGCCCCGGCCAACUACGUGCCAGCAGCCGCGGUAACACGUAGGGGGCAAGCGUUGUCCGGAUUUAGUU